UAGGGAAUCUUCCACAAUGGACGAAAGUCUGAUGGAGCAACGCCGCGUGAGUGAAGAAGGUUUUCGGAUCGUAAAGCUCUGUUGUUGGUGAAGAAGGAUAGAGGUAGUAACUGGUCUUUAUUUGACGGUAAUCAACCAGAAAGUCACGGCUAACUACGUGCCA
rnacentral:rRNA from 1 species